GAUGAACGCUGGCUACAGGCUUAACACAUGCAAGUCGAGGGGAAACGACGGGGAAGCUUGCUUCCCCGGGCGUCGACCGGCGCACGGGUGAGUAACGCGUAUCCAACCUGCCUCUGACUGAGGGAUAACCCGUCGAAAGUCGGCCUAAUACCUCAUGGCAUCGUCUGCGGGCAUCCAACGACGAUUAAAGAUUUCAUCGGUCAGGGAUGGGGAUGCGUCUGAUUAGCUUGUUGGCGGGGUAACGGCCCACCAAGGCUACGAUCAGUAGGGGUUCUGAGAGGAAGGUCCCCCACAUUGGAACUGAGACACGGUCCAAACUCCUACGGGAGGCAGCAGUGAGGGAUAUUGGUCAAGGGGCGGGAGCCUGAACCAGCCAAGUAGCGUGCAGGAUGACGGCCCUAUGGGUUGUAAACUGCUUUUAUGCGGGGAUAAAGUGAGGGACGUGUCCUUCAUUGCAGGUACCGCAUGAAUAAGAACCGGCUAAUUCCGUG
rnacentral:rRNA from 1 species